CAGAAUAUAGUUUAUAAAAUAUUAGUUUUGGAGGCUAAAGAAGUCUUAUUUAAGACUAUUCUGA
rnacentral:tRNA from 1 species